CAAGCUUGUUUUUGAUAGUUUAUAGUAGUUGACUAAAGAAUAAAAGCAUUAAACGACAUGUCAUUGUCAAAUUUUGUUGCACAUUCUUCAAGCAGUUUCCCAUCAACUUAUCAUCUGACAAAAAGAAAUAAUAAGUCUUAGAUUAACUUGUAUUAACUUUACUUGUCUGGAAAAAAAAGCAGAGAAAAUUAUUGAACAGAAAAAGAAAUGAAAAAAGUUAUACCUUAUUUAAAUUGAGAUCAAUGUUCAGUUGAGCUUUUUUAGUAGAAAUAUAAUGAUGACAUUUCUUCAGACAAUCUUCGAUGCAAAAAGGAUUGAUAAUACAUAAAAGUUGACAUUUUGUUUCACAAGAUAGUUUCACCUCACCUGUACCUUCAGCAUUUGCUACAAAAAUCACAAUGAGAAAUAAUGCUACUAGAAACUUUGUGAAGUUCAUAAUUGAGAGAACUUUUGGAUUUGAU
rnacentral:lncRNA from 1 species